CUUUGAUUAUGGCUCAGGAUGAACGCUAGCUACAGGCUUAACACAUGCAAGUCGAGGGGCAGCGGGAUUGAAGCUUGCUUCAAUUGCCGGCGACCGGCGCACGGGUGAGUAACGCGUAUCCAACCUUCCGUACACUCAGGGAUAGCCUUUCGAAAGAAAGAUUAAUACCUGAUAGUAUCUUAAGCACACAUGUAAUUAAGAUUAAAGAUUUAUCGGUGUACGAUGGGGAUGCGUUCCAUUAGGUAGUAGGCGGGGUAACGGCCCACCUAGCCAACGAUGGAUAGGGGUUCUGAGAGGAAGGUCCCCCACAUUGGAACUGAGACACGGUCCAAACUCCUACGGGAGGCAGCAGUGAGGAAUAUUGGUCAAUGGACGAGAGUCUGAACCAGCCAAGUAGCGUGAAGGAUGAAGGUCCUACGGAUUGUAAACUUCUUUUAUAAGGGAAUAAACCCUCCCACGUGUGGGAGCUUGUAUGUACCUUAUGAAUAAGCAUCGGCUAACUCCGUGCCAGCAGCCGCGGUAAUACGGAGGAUGCGAGCGUUAUCCGGAUUUAUUGGGUUUAAAGGGAGCGCAGACGGGUCGUUAAGUCAGCUGUGAAAGUUUGGGGCUCACCCUUAAAAUUGCAGUUGAUACUGGCGUCCUUGAGUGCGGUUGAGGUGUGCGGAAUUCGUGGUGUAGCGGUGAAAUGCUUAGAUAUCACGAAGAACUACGAUUGCGAAGGCAGCACACUAAUCCGUAACUGACGUUCAUGCUCGAAAGUGUGGGUAUCAAACAGGAUUAGAUACCCUGGUAGUCCACACGGUAAACGAUGGAUACUCGCUGUUGGCGAUAUACUGUCAGCGGCUUAGCGAAAGCGUUAAGCAUCCCACCUGGGGAGUACGCCGGCAACGGUGCAACUCAAAUGAAUUGACGGA
rnacentral:rRNA from 1 species